GCGGUUGUAGCUUAGCUGUAGAGCACUCACCUAGCACGUGCAGGGCCCUGGGUUCAAUCCUCAGCACCACA
rnacentral:tRNA from 1 species